rnacentral:lncRNA from 1 species
CUCAGCUGAGCCUGGUAGAUGCCAGCUGACCGGCUGCAGCCCCUGAGUAGAGGUUGGCUGUCCUAGCAAUAGAGUAGGGCGGGGGCACAGCAGACAUGGGACCAUCAUCUGGAUUCCUAGACGUGCAACUGCAAGUUUGGGAUGUGAUGGAGAACGAGCUGCACAAGUCUCUGGGCUCCUGUAAAAGAUUGGUUGCAGAAAUGUCCUCAGAGUUGUUGGGAGGAUUCAAUAGAAGAUGCAUGCAAAGCACCUGGCUGAAUGCCCAGAGCCCUGCAGACACUCAGGAAUGAGUAACCAUGCAGAUUUUCUACGCCUUUAGACCAGAUAUUCUAAGAAACUUCCUGCUAUAGAUUAACUAGAUCCUGAUUGUGUUUUUCAUUUCCAGGCUUAGAAGAAAUAAAGGAAAUAUCCCAGGAGCAAAAACAAAACACACACAUGCUCCUCUCAAGAGUCACUGGCAUCCCAGCUGAAAAGUCAGCUCUACACCUAUGGGACCUAUGGGCCUGUUUCUGAGCUCUGUUUUGUCUCUUUGGUCUGAGUGUCUAUCUGAGGCCAAUACCACAGUACCAAAUGCGAUUGCUUUAGAGGAAGUCUUGAAAUCAGAUGAGGCUGAAGGCUGUUGAAUUAUGAGAAAGCGUCAUUUGAAGAGAUGGAUGCCUGUGACCCCGCCAGGCUCUGCAGACCUGGAGGCGGCUCCAGAUCUGGGGUGUGCGGCGCAUUGUGUGUCCAACAGGUGAUUAACUCUGCUGGUGACAUGUGUUUUUAGAUAUGUGUGUCUUUUCUAUGAGAGUAAAUCAUAAAGCCCACAGGAUGUGCAAGCAGCCAUUCUCGCUGGCCAGGCGGUGUUAGCGCUUGCAACGCACAUAGAUUAUAUCCAGGAGGAUGCAGUCAAUACUUUCUGGGUCCUUUUUAGGUUUUGG